rnacentral:rRNA from 1 species
UACCGCGGUUAUACGAGAGGCCCAAGUUGAUAAGCACCGGCGUAAAGAGUGGUUAAGGUUGAGUAAAUACUAAAGCCGAACGCUUACAAGGCUGUUAUACGCAUCCGAAAGUAAGAAGAGCAACUACGAAAGUGGCUUUAUUACACCUGAACCCACGAAAGCCAAGGCA